rnacentral:rRNA from 1 species
UACGAAGGGGGCUAGCGUUGCUCGGAAUCACUGGGCGUAAAGCGCACGUAGGCGGACUCUUAAGUCGGUGGUGAAAUCCCGGGGCUCAACCUCGGAACUGCCUUUGAUACAGCAAGUCUUGAGUUCGAGAGAGGUGGGUGGAAUUUCUAGUGUAGAGGUGAAAUUCGUAGAUAUUAGGAAGAACACCGGUGGCGAAGGCGGCCCACUGGCUCGAUACUGACGCUGAGGUGCGAAAGCGUGGGGAGCAAACAGG